GUGCUCACUUCGGCAGCACAUAUACUAAAACUGAAAAGACAAAGAGAAGAUUAGCAUGGCCCCUGCACAAGAAUGACAGGCAAAUUCAUGAAGCGUUCCAUAUUUUU
rnacentral:snRNA from 1 species